UAGAUGGAAGUUCGCUGGAUUGAACACUUAGCUGUUAAUUAAGUUUUUGCAGGAUCGAGGCCUGUCUAUCUAG
rnacentral:tRNA from 1 species